AGAGAAAAAAAAAUCAGUGGUUCUAAGUUCGUCACCUGUCUUCUGUAACAGCUACCUGUGUCUGUCAUCUAGAUCUGUUGAUUUCUAAAGGUGUCAGUGUACCUGUUCAAAUUUUUUCCUGUUUUGUGACUUUAACAGAGGUGUCAGUAUUCUUAAAGUAUUUUUUCAUGCCCCUCGUUUUAAAAGAGUUUUUAAAACCCAGUAUUACCUCAUUGAUUUGGAUUCAUCUUAGUGGUCUUGCGUGCUUUCCCACACGAGGUACAAAUGCCUCUUCUUCAACUUAGCUACUUUAUUCAGCUUAUUCAUUCCAGUUUUUGUCAUAAUUAUCAUUUCCUCUUAAAAAAAAGAAUAGGUAUUAUGAGAAAUUUCUCUAGGGUUCCCUCCCAAUUUCCUCACUGCCAUUACAGAGCCUCUGUCCCAUCAGUCUUGAUCAGGCACGUUGGAUAUUCUUACUCUUUGCGUUCUUCUUUUCUCAGAGCAAUUGUAAUCUGCUUUAAUUAUGGUGGAUACUCCAGCAGCCUGCCCUUCUCCUGGGCUUUAGUAUUCCCUCCUUCAAUACCAUACUCACUUGAUUUUUUUUUUUAAUUCCCCCAAAUUAGCUCUCUUGAAUUCUAAUGCCCUGAUAGGACUGCUUGCAUUCUGGUUAUGAGCACGAUCCCACCAGAUUUCAGAAAUGCCGAGAAAGGCAAAGCUUUCUGCAUUUCUGCAUGCCUCUGACAGCUCUCGUUCACUCCUCAGAUCCUCACAGGCCCCGGGCUCUGCCUUUCUCUCUAUUUAAAUUGCUCGGGUGACCCUGCCCUCAGAGAAGGAGGGAAACAUUGUUUUCGAUGCCUGGUAAAUGACGUGACUUUUGACCCUCUUGUUUUUUUAAAAAAUCUCUCCAGCGAAAGAGGUUUUAAAAGCAGUAAUUUAUCUUUAAAUAUAAUUAUUGUUUUUUUUAAUUCCAUACACUCUACACUCUAGUUUUUACUCAACUCUGCAGCAUAUCUCUCAGAUCCCCCGAUUAAUUGAUUUUAAAAACCUCUGGCCAAUGCUGUCACCUUGCAAGCUUCCUCUCUGCUGUCCACUGGAAUUUUCACAUGGUGAGAAAGGUGUAGAGGCCGAUGGCACAUAUGUUCUCCAGCUCACCAUGCCAUUCUCCAUUAGUACUUGCAGACAUGCAUGAGCACACACACACACACACACACACACACACACAUACACCAGCGAAUAGUUCUUUUUUCCCACAAAAACAUUGGCUUUAAUCAUCUCAGUACAACAAAACAAGAAAUAUUUAUGCUCAUUUUCAUGAGGGUAGACAUUUCAGAGACUUCAUGUUUAUCUCUGAAGAGUAAAGGCUUAGGCUAUCUGCCCUUGGGUGAGGGAGACACAGCCAGUUAAUGCCAUGCUCAUGGUAAAUUCAUAGCUGACUCUCAGUCCCCACCCCUACCCUAUAACCACUUUGCCUUCCCGUUUUUAUUACUGUCUCCGUUGAAAUGCAUUCAAUUACAGUUAAAGAAAACACAACUCAAAUUGAUUUAAACAAAAAAAGAGAGAUUUAUGAUUUAUAAGUGAAAAACCCAGAAACAUAGCAAAUAUCCAGUGAAGCUUGAUCCAGUCACUCAACACUGUCACCAAGUACUUCUUUCUUUCUUUUUCUCUGUUCUGUCUUCUACAACGUCACUUCAUCCUAAAGAUGACUCUUACUGUAGUGCUAACAUGAUAUCACCAAUCUCCUGAGCCUAUGUACUUCCUUUUUCUGGUCCAAGAAAAAAAAGAAGAAGAGGAAGAAAGAGCACUAUUUCAGCAUUUCUAGCAAAUUCGAAUAUUCCUCUGAUUAGACCAGCUUUGGUUACAUGGACCCUCCAAAAUCACUAAGAUUGACCAAAGGAGUGCAUUCAUAGGCUUGGCCUGGGUCACAUGCUCUAACGCUGGAGCCAGGAAUGGAAAUGGUUUCCUAAGAAGCACACAUUUCACAAAAUAGAAAUUAUAGGGAGGGAGAAUGCAUUCUGGAGACAACCCAAACAGCUGAACUCUAAUACUCCUACCCCAAAACACAUUGAGUUUACCAAACCUAUACUGCAGCCCUGUUGUAAUAACAAUGGGAAAAACUCUUCCUAAUGGCUGCUGUCACCUUAAAAAGAGCAUAUAUAUAUAUAUAUAUAUAUAUAUAUAUAUAUACACACACACAAACAUGAGAAAACACCUCCUCGCUUCUUUUUUAAUUUUUUUAAAAUGUCAGUACAAUUGACACACAAUGUUAUAUUAGUUUCAGGUGUACAACACAGUGAUUCAACAACUUCAUACAUCAUGCUGUGCCCGCCACAAAUGUAGCUACCACCAGUCACCAUGCGUCCCUAUUACAAUACCAUUGACUAUAUUACCUAUGCUUGUACCUUUCACCCUCAUGACUUCUUCAUUCCAUAAAUGGAGAUCCUCCUGGCAUCUAACAGGAAGUUUGGGUACUUGGGCAAAUGACUAUCUGCUUUUAUCUGUCUGAGACUGAAGAUUGUUUUAGAGACAAAUCCAAGUGAUACUACAAGUUGUCCAAUUUGUGCUAUUGAGUCAGAUAUAAAAAAAAAAAAUUCUACAUCACAAAGAGAGAAAAGAUUUCUAAAUAUUUUACUUAGAUUAAGACAGGGUCUAUCUACCACAAUAAACACAAAUGCUGUUAGGCUGCAAUGAACAAACAUUUUUCUCUGGGAUAAUAAUUUUAUUUAAAUGCAUAACAUCCAAAGAGUUAAAAAGCAGGACCCAACUUGUAUGGCUUUGCCUUGGAUUAUCAGUCCUUUGAAAGCCAGUCAGAGCAAGGUAGAUCUUGGGAGAUCCCUGCCAAACAAGAAUGAGAAAGCUCAGGUGAGGACAAGGGUGGGAGAGAAGAGCUGUUCCAUGGGCCACUCUUUACUCCUCAGUAUCAUUACUGGGAAAAUAGAUACAAUGUGUAGCCCCAGGGAGUCUAUAAAUAAGCAAUUUUCUUUGCCUUCCUUUUUUCCUUCCUCCCUUCUUUCCUUCCUUCCUUCCUUCCUUCCUUCCUUCUCUCCUUCCUUCCUUCCUUCCUUCCUUCCUUCUUCUUUCCUUUAACUGAAAAAGAGUUUAUUCUUUUCCUUUCUGCAUCUCUCUUUCUUAUCUCAGAUGUUUUGAAUCCAGUCAGAGGAUAUGACUAAGGUCCUUCCUAAGCUGAAGGGAGUGGAGGUAAGCUUGGGGACACAUUCUAGAGUCAACGAGGUUCAGAGAGUGAAGUGACUACUUGGGUCACUCAAAUAGAAAGCUAGCUCUCUAAACUCUGCCCCAGUUGGAAAAGCAGUAUCUGUGAGUUCUCAUGGACAUCACAUGCUUGUUGAAACUGAAGAGACAGCUGAGGUAAAAAAAAAAAAAAAAUUUCCGGAGUUUAGCACAUAGUUUCUUUAGGAAUGACAUUAUUUCCUGAGUGCUUUUAAGAAUUGUUCAGAAUGUCACUUACAUCUUACUGUGUUUUUUCAGUUUGGUAUUCAUGAUUGACUAUAAACUUUUCAAGAAGCUUUGCAUAGUUGCCCAGUAUCCAGGAAGAAACUUGGGAAACACUCUUUAAUUUCAUGACUUCUCCAGAAUCUCUUAUUGGAAAACAUUAAUGCCAAUGUGUUUCUUCCCAAAAAGCUUAUUAUGAAGUUUUCCUAUAUAUCAGCUUCUGAACUAGGACAAAAUUGAAUUAACUAAUGUUUUGAGAAGUUACCUGCAUUUUUCAAAUGUAUCCUAAUACAGAAUUCUUGGUAAUCUCUAAGAAAUAUGUAGACAUUUAGCCAAAAGUCUGCCACUCUCUGGUUCUGAAUGUCCACAGAAAUGUGAUAUUUACGAAUCUGUUUACUUUUCCAUCUUGAAAUUAAAAAUAAAAUUUAUUUCCUUCUUGGUUCUUUACCAUAACUGGAUUAGCCAGUAAGUAAAUAUUUGUUCUGAAGAUACUAUAAUCUAUUAUUCAGAGUGCAGUGCUUGGAAUUUUCAUGAGUUCCAAGACAAGUUGUGACCUACCUGCUGCUGGCAAUCAGUAGCAUAUCCUUUAUUAGAGAGCUGAGUUUCCAAUGAGCUAAGUGUGGUUUUGACAUCUUUUGAAGAAUCUUGGGCAGAUCCUUAUAACAGAGGUCUUGACAAUACAAAGUUUCCUAGUAAAAGAAAAAAAAAUCAGAUACUUCUGAAAAAAGAACCUAGUAGAAUUCCUAAGGCAUAACUUGAAAUAAGUAGCAAGUCAUGUGACCUUGCUGUGAAUUAACCUUGACUCUAAGGCCAGAGGUCAGAGCUAUUCCUAUAGCUAAGUCCUGCAGGUGGGGUUAGGGAGAAAAAGGUGACAAUUUGGAGGACAAUUUACAAGCCAGAUAUAAUCAUCUGAAAUGCUGAUUCUGUGUCAUCCUAAGAAUUUAUGGCAGCCAGAAGGAAAGCAAAUAUGUUGUGCUAAUUCAAGCAGUUACAGCUUCCGUCCUUGUUACCCUGUGCAGGAAAACUCCUACAGAAGUUGUAAAUCUCACCUUUCUGCAAAACUAAUGAGAUGGUGUCACUAUGUGGGGGGAAUGACCUGAGGCCCUACGAACAGGAAGCAGCAUUAAAAGGGGCCUCCGAAAGUUUUACCCGCAAGCGGAACUAACCAGGACACUGGAACGAGCCCCAUGUCCAUGAGGUGUCCUUCAUCUGUGGAGGUCAUACCUGAACCCAUAACUGUGAAAAGGAAAGUUAGUAGAUUUUUACAGUACAGGGUUGUGUCAUAAUUGUGGUAAUAGAUUUGUUCCUUGAGUCGGGAACAGAGAGCAGUCUCUUCUCCUUUGUCUUUUAUUAAUCCUUUUAUUCAGUAAAUAAUCAUUGACCAUGUAGCCACUGUACUAGGCUCUAUGGAAACAAAACAUGAGUAAUGACAUAAUCUCAUGGAGUUCACAGGGUGGCAAAUAAAGGAGUCAUGAGAACAAAUAAAACCAAAGCAACGAGGCCAGUCCUAGAAGAGAGAAAUGAUAGCAUCAUGACCAGUGGCAGGAUCUGCAAAAUGGAUCAUUGGAGUUCAGAAUUUAGACUGUGGCCGUGAACCGGAAUGAUGCUGAGGGCCCCAAAAGUGAUUGGCCUGAAGACCGUGACCUCGUGUCUGUUCAACUAACCACAGAGAAAACAAUUCAGAUGGUGAAGGAAAAGACUUCAGACACGCAUCCCUCUGGCCCCUGGCUUUUCAAGGUGCCUUCCCUGUGGUUGAACUACAUUGUUAAAACCACUUGACGAGAUAUGAAGGAACAGAGGUUGGAAAGAAGAUAAAAACAUCCUAGGGGCUUUCCUCAAGGCAACACAGCUAGUAGCUGCCAGGGACAGGAUUCAAAUUUGGCACCCUUUUCUGCCUGAUAUUAAUGCAUGAGAAAUAAAAGGGAAUCCAUGAGGGAAUGGGCGUCAGUGCAUGAGGAAGAAAGCAUCAUUCUAGGUAACUGUGGCGAAUAACCAGUUCUCCUCUACGCGGCUCACCGAAAGUGAAACAUCCGCACUCCCUGAUGGAAUGGCUCCAAAUAACUUCUGCCUGUUUCCCCAAAUCUACUCAGCUUUCAAAAGACAAAGGAGCAAAGGACAGACCAGCAAGCAGGAGUCCGGAACUCUCAACCUCACUUCUCUCUCCACUUUUGUCCCUGCCACGAUGCCCCCUACUGGUGGGACAGAGGAAGGGGACUCUAGACGGGCCCUCAGAAGGCAAGCAAG